rnacentral:misc_RNA from 1 species
UUUCCGUAGGUGAACCUGCGGAAGGAUCAUUACCUUUCAAUGCAGCAGAAUUGCGAUGGUUGAGUAUCUCGCCUUUCGAUUCUGCCUGUAUUCUACCCUUGUUUCUCUUACACUAUUAUUUCCUCGGUAGGCUUGCCUACCGGGUGAAACCAUUUAUAACCUAUUUAAUUUUCAAUCAGCGUCUGAAAAAAUUAAUAAUUACAACUUUCAACAACGGAUCUCUUGGUUCUG